UACGAAGGGGGGCUAGCGUUGCUCGGAAUCACUGGGCGUAAAGGGCGCGUAGGCGGGUCUUUUAAGUCAGGGGUGAAAUCCUGGAGCUCAACUCCAGAACUGCCUUUGAUACUGAGGAUCUUGAGUUCGGGAGAGGUGAGUGGAACUGCGAGUGUAGAGGUGAAAAUUCGUAGAUAUUCGCAAGAACACCAGUGGCGAAAGGCGGCUCACUGGCCCGAUACUGACGCUGAGGGCACGAAAAGCGUGGGGGGAGCAAAACAGGG
rnacentral:rRNA from 1 species